rnacentral:rRNA from 1 species
AGUGAACGCUGGCGGCAGGCCUAACACAUGCAAGUCGAACGGCAGCGGGUCAGUAGCAAUACUGAUGCCGGCGAGUGGCGGACGGGUGAGGAAUACAUCGGAAUCUACCCUGUCGUGGGGGAUAACGUAGGGAAACUUACGCUAAUACCGCAUACGACCCACGGGUGAAAGCGGCGGACCGCAAGGCGUCGCGCGAUUGGAUGAGCCGAUGUCCGAUUAGCCAGGUGGCGGGGUAAAGGCCCACCAAGGCGACGAUCGGGAGCUGGUCUGAGAGGAUGAGCAGCCAGACUGGAACUGAGACACGGGCCAGACUGCUACGGGAGGCAGCAGUGGGGAAUAUUGGACAGUGGGCGCAAGCCUGAUCCAGCCAUGCCGCGUGUGUGAAGAAGGCCUUCGGGUUGUAAAGCACUUUUGUUGGGGAAGAAAAGACACCGGUUAAUACCCGGGGUUUCUGACGGUACCCAAAGAAUAAGCACCGGCUAACUUCGUGCCAGCCGCCGCCGUAAGAC